GACGAACGCUGGCGGCGUGCUUAACACAUGCCAGUCAAACGGAAGGGCCCUGCUUUUGUGGCGUGCUCUAGUGCCGCACGUGUGUGUAACACGUUAGUAACCUGCCCUUGACUUUGGGAUAACUUCAGGAAACUGGGGCUCAUACCGGAUAGGAGCUCCUGCUGCAUGGUGGGGGUUGGACAGUUUCGGCGGUUGGGGAUGGACUCGCGGCUUAUCAGAUUGUUGGUUGGGUAGGGGCUUACCAAGGCUUUGACGGGUAGCCGGCCUGAGAGGGUGACCGGCCACAUUGGGACUGAGAUACGGCCCAGACUCCUCCGGGAGGAAGCAGUGGGGAAUAUAGCACAAGGAGCGGAAGCCUGAUGCAGCAACGCCGCGUGCGGGAUGACGGCCUUCGGGUUGUAAACCGCUUUCGCCUGUGACGAAGCGUGAGGGACGGUAAUGGGUAAAUAAGCACCGGCUAACUACAUG
rnacentral:rRNA from 1 species